CCUACGGGUGGCAGCAGUGGGGAAUAUUGCACAAUGGGGGAAACCCUGAUGCAGCAACGCCGCGUGAGUGAGGAAGUAUUUCGGUAUGUAAAGCUCUAUCAGCAGGGAAUAGAAAAGAAGGUACCUGAAAAAUAAGCCCCGGCUAACUACGUGCCAGCAGCCGCGGUAAUACGUAGGGGGCAAGCGUUCUCCGGAUUUACUGGGUGUAAAGGGAGCGUAGACGGCAAGGCAAGGCUGAAGUGAAAGCCCGUGGCCCAACCACGUGACUGCUUUGGAAACUGUGUUGCUGGAGUGCAGGAGGGGUAAGCGGAAUUCCUAGUGUAGCGGUGAAAUGCGUAGAUAUUAGGAGGAACACCGGUGGCGAAGGCGGCUUACUGGACUGUAACUGACGUUGAGGCUCGAAGGCGUGGGGAACAAACAGGAUUAGAUACCCCAGUAGUC
rnacentral:rRNA from 1 species